rnacentral:rRNA from 1 species
UCGAACGAUGAUCCCAGCUUGCUGGGGGAUUAGUGGCGAACGGGUGAGUAACACGUGAGUAACCUGCCCUUGACUCUGGGAUAAGCCUGGGAAACUGGGUCUAAUACCGGAUACGACCAUCUGGCGCAUGUCAUGGUGGUGGAAAGCUUUUGUGGUUUUGGAUGGACUCGCGGCCUAUCAGCUUGUUGGUGGGGUAAUGGCCUACCAAGGCGACGACGGGUAGCCGGCCUGAGAGGGUGACCGGCCACACUGGGACUGAGACACGGCCCAGACUCCUACGGGAGGCAGCAGUGGGGAAUAUUGCACAAUGGGCGCAAGCCUGAUGCAGCGACGCCGCGUGAGGGAUGACGGCCUUCGGGUUGUAAACCUCUUUCAGUAGGGAAGAAGCGAAAGUGACGGUACCUGCAGAAGAAGCGCCGGCUAACUACGUGCCAGCAGCCGCGGUAAUACGUAGGGCGCAAGCGUUAUCCGGAAUUAUUGGGCGUAAAGAGCUCGUAGGCGGUUUGUCGCGUCUGCUGUGAAAGACCGGGGCUCAACUCCGGUUCUGCAGUGGGUACGGGCAGACUAGAGUGCAGUAGGGGAGACUGGAAUUCCUGGUGUAGCGGUGAAAUGCGCAGAUAUCAGGAGGAACACCGAUGGCGAAGGCAGGUCUCUGGGCUGUAACUGACGCUGAGGAGCGAAAGCAUGGGGAGCGAACAGGAUUAGAUACCCUGGGUAGUCCAUGCCGUAAACGUUGGGCACUAGGUGUGGGGGACAUUCCACGUUUU